GCCCUAAUUAUUGUACAAUGUAGGGCUUUUCAACACUGCCCCCAGACAUCCAUACAAAACAAUGGGUGUAGCCCAGCAAUAACAAGAUACAGCUAAAUGAUUUUCACUAUCAACAAUUAAUGUUAAAUAAUACCUAUCGAACAAUUGGGUUAAGUGGAUCUACACACUGCAAAAGUCAUACUAGAAUGUCGAUAAUUAACCAAUUCCAAGAAUCAGGAUUACCAGACAACCAAAUGGUUGUCGAACUACUCAUUAGCAACCUUCUUCCAGGCGCCCCCUUGAUGAAAGAAUUGAGAGUAGUGUUAGCAGGCGAAUCG
rnacentral:lncRNA from 1 species